rnacentral:rRNA from 1 species
GUUAAAGGUACCCGUACCGCAAACCGACACAGGUGGGUGAGGAGAGUAUCCUAAGGCCAGCGAGAGAACUGUUGUUAAGGAACUCGGCAAAAUGACCCCGUAACUUAGGGAUAAGGGGUGCCACCAUCAGGUGGCCGCAGAGAAUAGGCCCAAGCGACUGUUUACCAAAAACAUAGGCUUCUGCUAAGUCGCAAGACGAUGUAUAGGAGCUGACGCCUGCCCGGUGCUGGAAGGUUAAGGGGAUCUGUUAGAGCAAUCGAAGCAGUGAACUUAAGCCCCAGUAAACGGCGGCCGUAACUAUAACGGUCCUAAGGUAGCGAAAUUCCUUGUCGGGUAAGUUCCGACCCGCACGAAAGGCGUAACGAUUUGGGCACUGUCUCA